GCGCCAGUAGGUAGUAGCGGUCGAUGCGGCGUCUACACUUUAUUAUGUCUAUGGUUGCAGAGCCACGUUAAAUCCAACCGGAUGCAGUGGAAAUGGUCACAUGGUAGGAAGACGUCCAACCAUGACAACCAACCAUGACAACCAACUGAAUGCUGAAUGUGGCCUUACCUCAAAAACAAGGUAAUUGCUUUCCUGUUGCAACUUGUUGGUGGAGUGACUUCAAAUCAACUGACAGAGACCAUAGACAGACCGGCGGGAAGUGGGAUACCUGCUGCCAUCUUCUUCGCUUUCUCUUAAGCAGCAGUUUAAAAUGCUGAGUUUAUACUAAUGAUAAACUGCA